GAUAAAAAAUAACCCUGUAUUUAUGCAAAUUGCAAAGUAGCGUGUGAUAAUGAAAACAAAACAGUGCUGGCCCGCAGCCAAGACAUGGCGCUGACGGGAGCUCCCCGACCAUUUGGCUCUUGAUUCUUCGGGGAAAGCAGCUGUAGAGAAAUGAGAAUACAGGACCCCCUCCUCACACGCGCACACCCGGGUUCGCACGCAUUCCGGUACCCGUCACCUCGGAGCCAGCGAGACCUGGGAUCCAAAUGCGGUUCUGCCUCCUCCGGCCGUGGAGCACUGCAGUGUCGUCCUCCACGAGCCUCCCUGCCCCUGCUCCUGAUUCCCUUUCAGGAAUUUACAAACAUUUUCCCCAGAUCAAUAUCCGUAUUGAUUAUUCAUUGUGAGUGAGUCGUGUGUCUUUGGUGAUCCAGCUUGCAGAGGUAGCAGGCAAAGGCUGCUGCGGGGAAAAAAAAUAACAGAAGGCGAGAGGGACCCAGCUCUUGCUGGGUCUACGGCUGUCGGCAACACAGAAGGGAAGAGAAAAAGAGAAAAGCACCUCAAAACCAAGGAAUGGACACGGGUGGAAGAGAAAGAGGGAGCAAUAGCAAGAAAAAAGGAAUCGAUGACUGGACAUCUGGUCCCAGGGAAUCUCGAUGGCUUGGAGGAAACCCCCAUCUUGGGUCUGCUGUUACGUGCAGGACGCAAUGGACUUUGCUCUGGGAGUGCAAAGUGACUCACAGUUUUGGUAUCUCCUACGUAAGAGCUUUGGGGGGAUUCCUUGGCUUGCUGACAGGCAAGGAAGACAGCGGCAGCAGUGAGGUAAAACACGAUUACUUCCAACUGCCUUGCGGAGGAGGCGCAGUCGUGCGGUGUGACUUGAACAGCUUGCUGCUCUCUGACGGCACGCGGAGGGAGAAUAAUUAAAAAGGCCAGCAUCACUUACUAAGACCUUGACAUUUUUGAAGAGUGCUGGACAGAGUUUCACUCUUGUUGCCCAGGCUGGAGUGCAACAGCACAAUCUCGGCUCACCGCAACCUCCGCCUCCCGGGUUCAAGUGAUUCUCCUGCCUCAGCCUCUUGAGUAGCUGGGAUUACAGGGAUGCACCACCACGCUCGGCGAAUUUUGUAUUUUUAGCAGAGACAGGGUUUCUUCAUGUUGGUCAGACUGGUCUCAAACUCCUGACCUCAGGUGAUCCACCCGCCUUGGUCUCCCAAAGUGCUGGGAUUACAGGCGUGAGCUACUGCACCCAGCCCUGUGAUUCUUUUAUGACUUAACUUCUCCAUCUGUAAUAUGGUAUAAUAACAUCACUAACCCAUAUAGCAGAGAAAAUGAAACUGAAGCAGUAGAAAUAAGAGAAGCAGUCUAAAAACACAAAGUGCCAGGCUACUGUGACUAUUAAUAAUGCCACAUUUUCACAUUUAAGUGAAUUUAAUCAAUAUUUGUGAAUGAAAGAAUGAAUGGAUGGAUGGGUAAAGUUAUAGGAGAACAAAGAUGGGAGGAGAAUUAGGUUGAAUUGCUUGAGUUUCAAGAAAAACCUUUUAAAAGCACAGGAAUAAAUUUAAGGAGCAGACUUAAGGUAGACAGAUUGUGUUAAUACAUUUUGUGAUCCCAUACUUCACAUAAGAAUUGUGAUACUCCAGGGAAGCAACACAGCCUAGCAGCUGAUGCCAUGGCUUUUAGAGUCAGGAAACUUACAUUCAUAGUCCAACUCUGCCACACUAGUUGUGUGACCUGGAGCAAGUUACAAGUUAUUCAACCUCUAUCUGCCUCAGUUUCCUCUAGAGCUAGAAGGGUUCUCAGAGGUGAUCUAAUAUGUGUCUCUUAUUUUCCAGAUGAUGAGACAAGGUAAAAAAGGGCUUGAGGAGACAAAGUGGUUGCCCAAGGUGGCAUCAUCAACCAGAAGCAGAUUCGGCCCUAGAACAUAGGAGGUAGACUGCAGACAGGCACAAAUUCCUUGCAGCUCCUCUCAUCAAGAAAAAGACUGUUUUUCUAUACCCCUUUAACGUAGUGAAAAUGAAGUUGUGUGAGAGUCAAGCCUGGAUUGUAAGGGGUCUUUGAGUUUCCUUCUGCUCCUCUCACUCUUGGAAUGCUGCUGCCAUGUGAAAAAAACCGGGGUUAGUCUGUGGGAGGAUGAGAGACCACAUGGAGCAGAGACAAGAAUCCCCGAGGAAGCCCUCCCAUGCCAAUCAGCUGGCCGAUUGCCAGACAUGUGAGUGAGGGGCCCCAGAGCUCCCAGACCCAACCAAGCCACCAGCAGGCUACAGAAACCCACUGAGUUGGUUCAGAUUAGAAGAGCUACCCUAGCCAUCCAGCCAUCCCAGCCACCCCAAGGAACCAUGAGAUAAAUCAAUAAAA